rnacentral:rRNA from 1 species
AUGCCGGCGCGUUUUUGGGCGGAAGCCCUUGGCACUGCAACUCUCCUCCUCAACUACAAACCAUGCUCCACUUCCUCGCCACGGUCACCACAUGAACUGCUUCUUGGUACGGCCCCUGACUACUCCACUUUGCGCGUGUUUGGUUGCCUCUGCUACCCAAACACUUCUUCUACCUCGCGCCACAAACUCGAUCACCGGUUCGUAGCUUGCGUGUUCUUUGGAUAUCCACCAAAUCAUCGCGGUUAUCAUUGUUACGAUCCCCGCACCCGACGAGUUCUCACUUCCCGCCAUGUUCGCUUUCAUGAGACUCAAUUCCCCUUUGCUGCCGCUUCUGAUCCGCCCGCCAUCAGCGCUCCACCAGCUCCACGCUACGUCCCCGCGCCCCUGCAGGCUCCCGUAGCUGCUCCUACGCCGCCCUGUGACGCAAGCUCGCCUGACUCUGUUGAGUCCGGCCCUCCUGCCUUACACCAGCGCGCGGGCGCCCCUGGUUCAAGCUCGGCCACGCGAUCAUCAUCCAGCGGCUCCGCCUCUUCCUCAUCGGGCGCGACUCCUCCAGGUUUAAGCUGCGCCGCCGGAUCGGCAUCCAAUGGCUCUGCCUCGCCUUCAUCGCGCGCCACUCCUUCAAGUUUAAGCUGCACCGACGGAUCUGCAUCAGGCGGCCCUGAUUUAAAUCCGGCCGCUCCCGUGCAGCGCGCGGUCGUCCCCGCCAGCUCUUCUUCAUCCACAGCUGGCGGCUCGCGGAUCACCACGCACGCUCAGGCUGGUGUGUUCCGUCCGUACAUGCGCUACGCCGACGACUACGUCUGCGUCGCCUCCAUCAACACCUCGCCGGACGUCUCUCCGCUUCCCCGUUCCGUUCGCGAUGCUCUUCGCGAUCCGAACUGGGUCUCCGCCAUGCGCGAGGAGUUCGCUGCGCUCGUCAGCAACCGCACGUGGGAGCUGGUGCCCCGCCCUCCGCGCGCUAACAUCACCGGCAAAUGGGUUUUCAAGCACAAGACGCGCUCCGAUGGCUCCCUCGAGCGCUACAAAGCGCGGUGGGUCGUCCGCGGGUUUCGCCAGCGCGCCGGCGUCGACUACGGCGAGACUUUCUCCCCUGUCGUGAAGUCCGCGUCCAUUCGCACUGUGCUCACCCUCGCCGCCUCCCGUGGGUGGCCCGUUCGGCAACUCGACGUCAAGAACGCCUUCUUGCAUGGCACACUCCAGGAGGAAGUUUUCUGUCUGCAGCCUGCAGGUUUUGUCGACGCGAGCAAACCCGACCACGUCUGCCGGCUCACCAAGUCCCUCUACGGGCUCAAGCAAGCGCCGCGCGCAUGGUUCCUUCGCUUCGCCAGCUUCCUCGCCACCCUCGGCUUCACCACCACACGCUCGGACAGCUCCCUCUUCAUCCUCGCGUCCGGCGCCGACGCCGCCUAUCUACUGCUCUAUGUGGACGACAUCGUCCUCACGGCGAGCUCGGCUGCCUUCCUUCAAAGGAUCAUCGCCAAACUCACGCACGAGUUUUCCAUGAAGGACCUGGGAGCGCUCCACUACUUCCUUGGCAUACGGGUGACGCGCACCGCUGCUGGCUUCUUCCUCUCGCAGGCCCAGUACGCCGAGGACAUCCUCGAGCGUGCGGGCAUGGACACUUGCAAGGUUGCGCCUACACCAGUUGACACCAAGGCCAAGCUCCCGUCGUCCAACGGGCCCCGCGUCUCCGACCCCACCUCCUACAAAAGCCUCGCCGGAGCGCUGCAAUACCUCACCAUCACCCGUCCCGAGCUCGCCUACGCCGUCCAGCAAGUCCGCCUCCAUAUGCACGACCCGCGCGAGUGUCAUCGCGCUCUCCUCAAGCGCGUGCUCCGCUACGUCCGCGGCACGGUCACCCUCGGCCUCGCCCUGCGUGCUUCGUCGACUCUGGAGCUCCGUGCGUACACCGACGCGGACUGGGCUGGCUGCCCGGACACCCGCCGCUCUACUUCCGGCUUCUGCAUCUUCCUCGGCGACGCACUCGUGUCCUGGUCGCCCAAACGCCAGGCCACCGUCUCGCGCUCUAGCGCGGAGGCCGAAUAUCGUGCCGACGCCAAUGCCGACGCGGAGUGUGUCUGGCAGCGCCAACUUCUUCGCGAGCUUCAUUGCACCGUCAACACGGCGUCGCUCGUCUACUGCGACAACAUCUCGGCGGUGUAUCUCUCCAGCAACCCCGUGCAUCACCGGCGCACCAAGCACAUCGAAUUGGACAUUCAUUUCGUGCGCGAACGUGUGGCGCUUGGCAACUUCCGCGUCCUGCACGUUCCCACGCGCCAGCAGCUCGCCGACGUCAUGACGAAGGGGCUGCCCUCUGAUGUCUUCCACGACUUUCGUUCCAGCCUUUGCGUCUCGAGCAUCGACGCCAAGACUGCGGGGGUGGGGGGUGGGGGGGGGAUUGUUAGACUACUGUAUUCUGUACGUAUAAGGUAG